GGUUUGUGUGGCAUGACUACUUAUCUAAAUUGGACCGCUAGGAGUGAGUCACCCACUACAUAAUUUAUUUCCAUCCCGAACAGUUGGUGUAGCCGGCGGGACAUCUACUUCAUGAGGUUUCCCAGAAGCUUUUCCAAUUUCGUCCCCUAACUUGUGGAAUACCUCCCUGAGUCAGCAGACUUUGCGACAAGACGGGAGAAGAGAAGUCACCGCUGCAGGUGGUGCUACCUGGAGCCAUGAGCCAAAGAUAGUGGGAUCGCUGUUCUCUAAAUGCAAGAGGAAGGCUGCCCCCCAAGGGACAAGUGAAUCUUGUCUCGCUGAGCAGGCCAGCACCCAUCUGGUUGUUGUCUCGAGGAAAACACAGGAGUACCAUGGUAAAUAUGUUCGAAUCAAGAUUAAGGAAAUGGACUAAUGCAGAGGCACAAACAACUUGCCUUGAAAAUAUUGUUCAAGUUGCAAAUGGAAUGCCUGACAGGUAUUUUGAUUUUGCACACUUGGUGAAGCAGCUAUGUGUCACAGCCAGGAUUUAUGGGGCUAAACUCCCUAACUUUGACUGUUCUGGAACGUGAGUGCCUUAUUACCCUUUAUAAGCAUGGAAUAAACAAAAGUUAAAAACUGAGAUAUGAGGAAAGUUGGAAAAUGUUCAUGUGGGUGGGUGCGAGAGAGAGACUGACUCAGCGCUGGUUCCCUGCAGCUUGGAGAAAGGUUAACCCUUUGUGAUCUGGUUUGAAUGCACAUUUGCUUGCUGGUGAUUGAAUGUUUAUAUUUUGUCCCCUUGAGCUCGAGAUUGGGGACUGUUUUGAAUUUGACUUGCAUUUUGGGAAUUUAAGAUAAUUUCUUUUAAGGUUAAGGAACCAUCAGUGAUUAUGAAAUGAAAUAUUAACCCACCCCAUUCUUCUUACAGACAAUGACUGCCCUACUGUCAAUAUCUAACUAAUAAUUGUUUAUGCUUACACCUUAAUGGGUG